CACCGCCCGUCACAUCACGAAAUGGGUUGUACUAGAAGUCUGCGGCCUGACCCGCAAGGGGAGGAGCGGCCCAAGGUAUGACUCAUGAUUGGGGUG
rnacentral:rRNA from 1 species